rnacentral:lncRNA from 1 species
UCAAAAUUCCCAAAUUGCCACAGAGAAAGCAAUGGCUAGUUAUCGUCACCUCAAUCUGGAACGGUGCUCCACUCUCUACAAUUUCCUUUUAUCUUCAUUGCUUUCAAUGCCCUAUUAUCCCUUAAAAAUAAGUUUUUUUCAGUUUCUUCAUUUUUUUCUAGUUGUGGAAAAGAGAUCAUUGGCCUGUCAUGAUCUUCUACGUCCUCCUCAGAAGUGGAAGUCCUCGGAUACUUCUCAAGCGUUAAAAGAAGCAUUACUAGAAAUGAUGAAUGCUGCUCA